CCUGUUUACACUAUAGAUUCUAGGUUUCCUUACUAUGUUAGUGAUUAUCUACGAUCCUGCAAAGCAGUGUUUGUUUCUGUGUAUGGUGUUUCUGUGGUCAAUGACUUCCUAUUUCAUUGCUUUUUGGGUUUUUGUACUCACAUCCAAUAGAAAUCCAAACCCAAGCUAGCUGUUACUAGUAUAAAGAUAGUAGGUUUCUAAGUGAAGAACCGAAUGAUAACCUGCUAACCUGCAUUG